UGUUAAUAGAUAAGUGCCUCAACAUUCUGUAUGCAUUGUUAAACUGCUAAUUUAAGUUUAUCAAUGCAAAACAACACAAACCAGAAACAUAAUCCGAUAGUUGCCAAGAAAUCUGAGUUGGUAAAAGUAAACCUUCAGAAUCUUCUUCAAUGGCAACCAGAUGUAUGAAGGUGACAUUUUUGGCAUCGCGAAGCACGCCAUCAUAUCAUAAAACACGCCUCACACGACUUGCAAAGUGCGUGCUUGUAGCGUGUCUUGCAGGCACUUCACAGCACCAGUGUAAUUUAGAAAUCCCAUAAACCAAAAUUCAUGGUUGUCAAUAGAGAUAGCUUGGAUGUACUUUUCUAACGAAUUGGUUCUGCUUGAUGAAGGAUAAAUUGCUUUAAGCUGAUGCAACGGGAUGAUAACCUUGUAAUAGCUCCAUUUAGUCUUGUUUUCGUUUUUGUAGGGAAGGGGGUUAUCGCUACAAAAAGCAAGCUUUGCCGUAGAUAAAUAUAACACUCCCAUUACUGGUCCAGCUGAGGUCGAUAAAUAACAUGCAAAUGAAUUCCGAAGUUGCUCCUCAGGAUCUGCCUCAAAUGUUUGGCGGAAUAUCUUGUCAUAACCACCUUCAGCCAAAACCUUUGUUCCCUGUGCAAUUCUUCCUAAGGCAGCAUCAGCAAUACUAGGGCUCGUUUUCAAGUGUUGCCAUGUGUUGCCAGCAAUAUCCUCUGCCUUCUUUGUUGCUUCACCAACCUUCUUCCCCCAUCUACCAAGUACAUCUUUGACAUUCUCCAUUUUAUUUUUGAUAUUGACGGAAGCAGAAUUGUUGACCGGAGCCGGAGAAUGAACUAAGUAAGGAUUCGAUCCCCUGUUACCGGUUGUUCUCUGCACGUACGACUCCGUCACCAAUUCCUGACUCCAAUGCACCGAUUUCUUCGAUUUAUUCAAACCGUUCGCCGAUUUGAUUCCUUCAUUUUCGAUUUUACCAAUUUUAUUCUCAUUUACAGAGGCAAUUGUAAUAGUAUUGUCCUGUUGCACACAUUUCGGAUCCGGUUUCGUACCUUGAUCAGGAUUCACAACGGAGCUGGUCUUCUGCUCCUCCGCCGCCACCGCCGCGUUCUCUUUCCCGCCAUCGUCGUUUUGCUGCUUCGUCAUCUUCGCCGACGAGAGAAAAGAGGUAAAAAUAUCUACAAUGCGAAAUUACUCUCUACCGUGAUAAGUCGGCGCGUCGGAACCUUUGGCCGAUUCUGGAAUUUUCCGUUAUGGUUCCGAUUUAACGCCGGGAGAGAGAAAGAGAGAGACCGGCGAUUUAACGCGGGAAGACACUAUACGAGGG
rnacentral:misc_RNA from 1 species